CAGUAGCCGCGGGAAUACGGAGGGUGCAAGCGUUAUCCGGAUUCACUGGGUUUAAAGGGUGCGUAUGCGGAUCUGUAAGUCAGUGGUGAAAUCUCCAGGCUUAACCUGGAAACUGCCGUUGAUACUAUAGGUCUUGAAUUUUGUGGAGGUUAGCGGAAUAUGUCAUGUAGCGGUGAAAUGCAUAGAUAUGACAUAGAACACCAAUUGCGAAGGCAGCUGGCUACACAACUAUUGACGCUGAGGCACGAAAGCGUGGGGAUCAAACAGGAUUAGAUACCCGCGUAGUCCCUGUCUCUUAUAC
rnacentral:rRNA from 1 species